rnacentral:rRNA from 1 species
AUUGAACGCUGGCGGAAUGCUUUACACAUGCAAGUCGAACGGUAGAGGGGGCAACCCCUCGAGAGUGGCGAACGGGUGAGUAAUAUAUCGGAACGUGCCCAGUCGUGGGGGAUAACGUAGCGAAAGCUACGCUAAUACCGCAUACGAUCUAUGGAUGAAAGCGGGGGAUCGCAAGACCUCGCGCGAUUGGAGCGGCCGAUAUCAGAUUAGGUAGUUGGUGGGGUAAAGGCCCACCAAGCCUGCGAUCUGUAGCUGGUCUGAGAGGACGACCAGCCACACUGGAACUGAGACACGGUCCAGACUCCGACGGGAGGCAGCAGUGGGGAAUUUUGGACAAUGGGCGCAAGCCUGAUCCAGCAAUGCCGCGUGCAGGAUGAAGGCCUUCGGGUUGUAAACUGCUUUUGUACGGAGCGAAAAGGCUCUCUCUAAUACAGGGGGCUCAUGACGGUACCGUAAGAAUAAGCACCGGCUAACUACGUGCCAGCCGCCGCCGUAA